UACGUAGGGGGCAAGCGUUUGUCCGGAUUUAUUUGGGCGUAAAGCGCUCGCAGGUGGUUCAUUUGCGUCGUGCGUGAAAGACCCCGGCUCAACUGGGGGAGGGGUCGUGCGAAACGGGGUGAACUAGAGGCCAGUAGGGGGGAUGCGGAAUUUCCGGGUGUAGUGGUGGAAUGCGUAGAGAUCCGGAGGAACACCAGCGGCGAAGGCGGCAUCCUGGACUGGUCCUGACACUCAGGAGCGAAAGCGUGGGGGAGCGAUCCGG
rnacentral:rRNA from 1 species